rnacentral:piRNA from 1 species
UGCAGGAGUAAUGUGGUAUCUCAUUGUGGU